UACAGAGGCGGCAAGCGUUGUUCGGAAUUACUGGGCGUAAAGGGCGCGUAGGCGGUCAGGUCAGUCCCGUGUGAAAUCCCUCGGCUCAACUGAGGAACUGCACGGGAAACUACCUGGCUUGAGUUCGGGAGAGGGAAGCGGAAUUCCGGGUGUAGCGGUGAAAUGCGUAGAUAUCCGGAGGAACACCGGUGGCGAAGGCGGCUUCCUGGACCGACACUGACGCUGAGGCGCGAAAGCUAGGGGAGCAAACGGG
rnacentral:rRNA from 1 species